GCCCAGGUGGCGAAACUGGUAGACGCGCAGUCUUGAGGUGGCUGUGGAGCAAUCCUUGGAGGUUCAACUCCUCUCCUGGGCA
rfam:Microgenomates (Pacebacteria) bacterium GW2011_GWA1_46_10 TX28_C0001, whole genome shotgun sequence.